GAGGAAGGCGGGCGGCGUGCCUAAUACAUGCAAGUCGAGCGAACAGACGAGGAGCUUGCUCCUCUGACGUUAGCGGCGGACGGGUGAGUAACACGUGGAUAACCUACCUAUAAGACUGGGAGAACUUCGGGAAACCGGAGCUAAUACCGGAUAAUAUAUUGAACCGCAUGGUUCAAUAGUGAAAGGCGGUUUUGCUGUCACUUAUAGAUGGAUCCGCUCCGCAUUAGCUAGUUGGUAAGGUAACGGCUUACCAAGGCAACGAUGCGUAGCCGACCUGAGAGGGUGAUCGGCCACACUGGAACUGAGACACGGUCCAGACUCCUACGGGAGGCAGCAGUAGGGAAUCUUCCGCAAUGGGCGAAAGCCUGACGGAGCAACGCCGCGUGAGUGAUGAAGGUCUUCGGAUCGUAAAACUCUGUUAUUAGGGAAGAACAAAUGUGUAAGUAACUAUGCACGUAUUGACGGUACCUAAUCAGAAAGCCACGGCUAACUACGUG
rnacentral:rRNA from 1 species